UCAGAUUGAACGCUGGCGGCAGGCCUAACACAUGCAAGUCGAGCGGAUGAAGAGAGCUUGCUCUCUGAUUCAGCGGCGGACGGGUGAGUAAUGCCUAGGAAUCUGCCUGGUAGUGGGGGACAACGUCUCGAAAGGGACGCUAAUACCGCAUACGUCCUACGGGAGAAAGCAGGGGACCUUCGGGCCUUGCGCUAUCAGAUGAGCCUAGGUCGGAUUAGCUAGUUGGUGAGGUAAUGGCUCACCAAGGCGACGAUCCGUAACUGGUCUGAGAGGAUGAUCAGUCACACUGGAACUGAGACACGGUCCAGACUCCUACGGGAGGCAGCAGUGGGGAAUAUUGGACAAUGGGCGAAAGCCUGAUCCAGCCAUGCCGCGUGUGUGAAGAAGGUCUUCGGAUUGUAAAGCACUUUAAGUUGGGAGGAAGGGUUGUAGAUUAAUACUCUGCAAUUUGACGUACCGACAGAAU
rnacentral:rRNA from 1 species